rnacentral:rRNA from 1 species
GACGAACGCUGGCGGCGUGCUUAACACAUGCAAGUCGAGCGGUAAGGCCCUUUCGGGGGUACACGAGCGGCGAACGGGUGAGUAACACGUGGGUGACCUGCCCUCAGCUCUGGGAUAAGCCUGGGAAACCGGGUCUAAUACUGGAUAUGACUCCAUGACGCAUGUUGUGGGGUGGAAAGCCUUGUGCGGCUGAGGAUGGGCCCGCGGCCUAUCAGCUUGUUGGUGGGGUGAUGGCCUACCAAGGCGACGACGGGUAGCCGGCCUGAGAGGGCGACCGGCCACACUGGGACUGAGACACGGCCCAGACUCCUACGGGAGGCAGCAGUGGGGAAUCUUGCGCAAUGGGCGAAAGCCUGACGCAGCGACGCCGCGUGAGGGAUGACGGCCUGCGGGUUGUAAACCUCUUUCAGCUCCGACGAAGCGAGAGUGACGGU